rnacentral:rRNA from 1 species
UGCGUAGGUGGCGCCGUAAGUCGGGUGUGAAAUUUCGGAGCUUAACUCCGAAACUGCAUUCGAUACUGCGGUGCUUGAGGACUGGAGAGGAGACUGGAAUUCAUGGUGUAGCAGUGAAAUGCGUAGAGAUCAUGAGGAAGACCAGUGGCGAAGGCGGGUCUCUGGACAGUUCCUGACACUGAGGCACGAAGGCCAGGGGAGCAAAC